AGAAUUGACGGGGCCGCACAAGCGGUGGAGCAUGUGGUUAAUUCGAAGCAACGCGAAGAACCUUACCAGGUCUUGACAUCCCGAUGCUAUUUCUAGAGAUAGAAAGUUACUUCGGUACAUCGGUGACAGGUGGUGCAUGGUUGUCGUCAGCUCGUGUCGUGAGAUGUUGGGUUAAGUCCCGCAACGAGCGCAACCCCUAUUGUUAGUUGCCAUCAUUCAGUUGGGCACUCUAGCGAGACUGCCGGUAAUAAACCGGAGGAAGGUAGGGAUGACGUCAAAUCAUCAUGCCCCUUAUGACCUGGGCUACACACGUGCUACAAUGGUUGGUACAACGAGUUGCGAGUCGGUGACGGCGAGCUAAUCUCUUAAAGCCAAUCUCAGUUCGGAUUGUAGGCUGCAACUCGCCUACAUGAAGUCGGAAUCGCUAGUAAUCGCGGAUCAGCACGCCGCGGUGAAUACGUUCCCGGGCCUU
rnacentral:rRNA from 1 species